UACGGAGGGUGCAAGCGUUAUCCGGAUUCACUGGGUUUAAAGGGUGCGUAGGCGGAUUUGUAAGUCCGUGGUGAAAUCUCCAGGCUUAACCUGGAAACUGCCAUGGAUACUAUAAAUCUUGAAUGUUGUGGAGGUUAGCGGAAUAUGUCAUGUAGCGGUGAAAUGCAUAGAUAUGACAUAGAACACCAAUUGCGAAGGCAGCUGGCUACACAAAUAUUGACGCUGAGGCACGAAAGCGUGGGGAUCAAACAGG
rnacentral:rRNA from 2 species